rnacentral:rRNA from 1 species
UGGGGAAUAUUGGACAAUGGGCGCAAGCCUGAUCCAGCAAUGCCGCGUGUGUGAAGAAGGCCUUCGGGUUGUAAAGCACUUUUAUCAGGAGCGAAACGCUGUCGGCUAAUACCCGGCGGAACUGACGGUACCUGAGGAAUAAGCACCGGCUAACUUCGUGCCAGCAGCCGCGGUAAUACGAAGGGUGCAAGCGUUAAUCGGAAUUACUGGGCGUAAAGCGUGCGUAGGCGGUUUCUUAGUCUGCUGUGAAAUCCCCGGGCUCAACCUGGGAAUGGCAGUGGAUACUGGGAGGCUAGANUGUGUCAGAGGGUGGUGGAAUUCCCGGUGUAGCGGUGAAAUGCGUAGAGAUCGGGAGGAACAUCAGUGGCGAAGGCGGCCACCUGGGACAACACUGACGCUGAGGCACGAAAGCGUGGGGAGCAAACAGGAUUAGGAUACCCUGGUAGUCCACGCCCUAAACGAUGCGAACUGGAUGUUGGUCUCAACUCGGAGAUCAGUGUCGAAGCUAACGCGUAAGUUCGCCGCCUGGGGAGUACGGUCGCAAGACUGAAACUUAAAGG